GCAUUGGUGGUGUAGUGGUUAGCAUGGCUGACUUCUAAGUAGUUGGUCUGGGUUUAAUUCCCAGCCAGUGCU